rnacentral:rRNA from 1 species
GUACGGGGAUCAGGGUUCGAUUCCGGAGAGGGAGCCUGAGAAACGGCUACCACAUCCAAGGAAGGCAGCAGGCGCGCAAAUUACCCACUCCCGGCACGGGGAGGUAGUGACGAAAAAUAACGAUACGGGACUCAUCCGAGGCCCCGUAAUCGGAAUGAGUAUACUCUAAAUCCUUAUACGAGUAUCCAUUGGAGGGCAAGUCUGGUGCCAGCAGCCGCGGUAAUUCCAGCUCCAAUAGCGUAUAUUAAAGUUGUUGCGGUUAAAAAGCUCGUAGUUGGAUCUGUGUCCCGCACCGCCGGUUCACCGCCUGUCGGUGUCAAACUAGCGUGUAUGCGGGACGUCCUGUCGGUGGUGGUCCGGGGCUUCGUCGGCCUUAGGGGUUUCCGAAUUUCGCGAUUCUCCGAAGGCUGGCGUGUGUUUCCGGCCGCCUUGUCAAUCCUGCCGCGGUGCUCUUCACCGAGUGUCGAGGCGGGCCGGCACGUUUACUUUGAACAAAUUAGAGUGCUUUAAGCAGGCUCAUUUCUGCCUGCAUACUGUGUGCAUGGAAUAAUGGAAUAGGACCUCGGUUCUAUUUUGUUGGUUUUCGGAAUCUGAGGUAAUGAUCAAUGGGGACAGGCGGGGGCAUUCGUAUUGCGACGUUAGAGGUGAAAUUCUUGGAUCGUCGCAAGACGGACCGAAGCGAAAGCAUUUGCCAAGUAUGUUCUCGUCGAUCAAGAACGAAAGUUAGAGGUUCGAAGGCGAUCAGAUACCGCCCUAGUUCUAACCAUAAACCAUGCCUGCCAGCGAUCCGCCGGUGUUCCUCCGAUGACCCGGCGGGCAGCUUCCGGGAAACCAGAGCUUUUGGGUUCCGGGGGAAGUAUGGUUGCAAAGCUGAAACUUAAAGGAAUUGACGGAAGGGCACCACCAGGAGUGGAGCCUGCGGCUUAAUUUGACUCAACACGGGAAAACUCACCAGGCCCGGACACCGGAAGGAUUGACAGAUUGAGAGCUCUUUCUUGAUUCGGUGGGUGGUGGUGCAUGGCCGUUCUUAGUUGGUGGAGCGAUUUGUCUGGUUAAUUCCGAUAACGAACGAGACUCUAGCCUACUAACUAGACGUAUCCGGUAUCCACAAUCGUGCUACCGGCGAGUAAAUUUCUUCUUAGAGGGACAGGCGGCUGUAGCCGCACGAGACUGAGCAAUAACAGGUCUGUGAUGCCCUUAGAUGUCCUGGGCCGCACGCGCGCUACACUGAAGGAGUCAGCGUGUCUUCCCUGUCCGAAAGGACCGGGUAACCCGCUGAACCUCUUUCGUGCUAGGGAUUGGGGCUUGCAACUGUUCCCCAUGAACGAGGAAUUCCCAGUAAGCGCGAGUCAUAAGCUCGCGUUGAUUACGUCCCUGCCCUUGUACACACCGCC